rnacentral:rRNA from 1 species
GGGCCCGCACAAGCGGUGGAGCAUGUGGUUUAAUUCGAUGAUACGCGAGGAACCUUACCAGGGCUUAAAUGUAAGUUGCAUAAAUCAGAGAUGAUUUUUUCUUCGGACUACUUACAAGGUGCUGCAUGGUUGUCGUCAGCUCGUGCCGUGAGGUGUCAGGUUAAGUCCUAUAACGAGCGCAACCCCCUGUCGUUAGUUGCCAUCAAGUAAUGGUUGGGUACUCUAGCGAGACUGCCGGUGCAAACCGAGAGGAAGGUGGGGAGUGACGUCAAAUCAUCACGGCCCUUACGUCCUGGGCGUACACACGUGCUACAAUGGCCGGUACAGAGAGCAGCCACUACGCGAGUAGGAGCGAAUCUAUAAAACCGGUCUCAGUUCGGAUCGCAGUCUGCAACUCGACUGCGUGAAGCUGGAAUCGCUAGUAAUCG